rnacentral:rRNA from 1 species
AGAUAGUGGCGGACGGGUGAGUAACACGUGGGUAACCUGCCCAUAAGAGGGGGAUAACAUCCGGAAACGGGUGCUAAUACCGCAUAGUUUUCUUGAUCGCAUGAUCGAGAAAGGAAAGACGGCCUUUGUGCUGUCGCUUAUGGAUGGACCCGCGGCGUAUUAGUUAGUUGGUGAGGUAAUGGCUCACCAAGACGAUGAUACGUAGCCGACCUGAGAGGGUGAUCGGCCACAUUGGGACUGAGACACGGCCCAAACUCUUACGGGAGGCAGCAGUAGGGAAUCUUCCGCAAUGGACGAAAGUCUGACGGAGCAACGCCGCGUGAGUGAAGAAGGUUUUCGGAUCGUAAAACUCUGUUGUCAGAGAAGAACAAGUUGGAGAGUAACUGCUCCAGCCUUGACGGUAUCUGACCAGAAAGCCACGGCUAACUACGUGCCAGCAGCCGCGGUAAUACGUAGGUGGCAAGCGUUGUCCGGAUUUAUUGGGCGUAAAGCGAGCGCAGGCGGUUCCUUAAGUCUGAUGUGAAAGCCCACGGCUCAACCGUGGAAGGUCAUUGGAAA